rnacentral:rRNA from 1 species
GACGAACGCUGGCGGCGUGCCUAAUACGUGCAAGUCGAGCGGACAGAAGGGAGCUUGCUCCCGGAAGUUAGCGGCGGACGGGUGAGUAACACGUGGGCAACCUACCCUGUAGAUCGGGAUAACAUCGAGAAAUCGGUGCUAAUACCGGAUAAUCAUUUGAAGUGCAUGCUUCGAAUGGAAAAGUUGGCUCCGGCUAUCACUACGGGAUGGGCCCGCGGCGCAUUAGCUAGUUGGUAAGGUAAUGGCUUACCAAGGCAACGAUGCGUAGCCGACCUGAGAGGGUGAUCGGCCACACUGGGACUGAGACACGGCCCAGACUCCUACGGGAGGCAGCAGUAGGGAAUCUUCCGCAAUGGACGAAAGUCUGACGGAGCAACGCCGCGUGAGUGGUGAAGGUUUUCGGAUCGUAAAGCUCUGUUGUUAGGGAAGAACAAGUGCCGUUUGAAUAAGGCGGCACCUUGACGGUACCUAACCAGAAAGCCACGGCUAACUACGUGCCAGCCGCCGCCGUAAGAC